rnacentral:rRNA from 1 species
AGCAGUCGCCGCGGUAAUACGAAGGGGGCUAGCGUUGCUCGGAAUUACUGGGCGUAAAGCGUGCGCAGGCGGUUAUAUAAGACAGAUGUGAAAUCCCCGGGCUCAACCUGGGACCUGCAUUUGUGACUGUAUAGCUAGAGUACGGUAGAGGGGGAUGGAAUUCCGCGUGUAGCAGUGAAAUGCGUAGAUACGCGGAGGAACACCGAUGGCGAAGGCAAUCCCCUGGACCUGUACUGACGCUCAUGCACGAAAGCGUGGGGAGCAAACAGGAUUAGAUACCCCAGUAGUCCCUGUCUCUUAUAC